AUACCUUUCACGGCCUUUUGGCUAAGAUCAAGUGUAGUAUCUGUUCUUGUCAGUUUAAUAUUUGAUAUGUGGGCCAUCGGCUCAUACGAUAUUAACUUAAUUUUUUAAGGGGAAGAGUCUAUUAUGGUAGCUUGUUGCCUUUUUAAGGGGAAGAGUCUAUUAUGGUAGCUUGUUGCCUGGGCUCUUGCGCGUCGCCCAUGCGUUGCACUGCUGCACGGGCCUGGCGCGCCCCAC
rnacentral:snRNA from 1 species